UGCUCACAGCGGAGGCAGCGUGAGGUGCACCUCUACGCCUCGUGGGACGAGGACGUGACACAAAUGGAAGUAGACGAGACAGGAAACAGGCUUCCAGGUCCGCUGUGCCGCUUCAACCAGAGCUGUAAGGAUUCCAGUAGCAGUCCAGUUAGAGCAAACGACAGCCAGACUGGCGAGAAUCCAGUAAAAAGACAAUUUCCCCAAGAAAAUUAUCAAAGGCGAGAGGUGACGAGGUCAACGUGUCAGCUGGAGUGUGUGUCUGGUAUUUGGCAAAGUUCUGCCAAGAAAAGACGUGUGAGUACACACAAGCACACACACACACA